rnacentral:lncRNA from 10 species
CGCGACGCACGGCCCGGCUUCCCCGCCCGGCCGCCGCCAUGAUGAGGAGGUCGGCGCGGCUGUGCUGCGGGCAGGCAGCGGAGAGGGCUCGCGGCGAGGGCUCCAGCUUACCCCGCCGCCGCGUCGCGUGCACGGAGCGCUUCAGAGGUUUGGAGGGGGCCGGAACCUCAAAAGCAACUGGAUGAGCACAACGCGGACGCCCCGGAGAAGCGGCGCAAGCGGGCCCAAAAUGGUUGCUGAUCAGACGAGUGGCAUCUCUCGCCCCCCUACCGCGGGAAUUGGGACCUCCAGACUGUGCCUGGGGGAUCGGCAAGUGGUUCCCCUCUGGUUUUUUCGGCGCUGCCUUCCCGGUGGUAUCCUCACUCUCUCUCUUUGAAAUGACCUCUGCUUUCCUAUCUCUAACUCUUCCCAGAUAUUUGAAAGCAAGUUUUUGUACAAAGCAACAUAUGAAUGUAUUCAGCCAUUCGAUCGUUCGGCGAACAUUUCUAGGUGUCUCGUGCUGUGCCAGAUAUUGUUCUGAGUGCGCUGAAGAUGCACCUGUUAGCAAGACAAAGUCCUGGCUCCCACGGAGCUUAUUCGAAGCAAUAGGGGCCCCCAAGCAGGUUGGAGAUGGCUGGAAGAAAUGAAAAGAAGAACGCCAACAAAGGCGAUAAAGAAAAAUUCAACACUGCUUGAUAACUGAUGAGAUAGUGAAGGAGUAGGAGGGCAAAAGUCAGAAGUAAUUCCAGGUGUUCAAGAACUAAAUGCUGAAGAGAUGUUAGUGUCGUUGACGGUCUUCUAAUGGGAAGUGAAUUUCAAUAGAAAGAGGAUGUGUUUGGUUUCAGACAGACCGAGUGACUGGUGACAACAGGAAAGCCACGUGUUUGGAGCAGAUUACUCGGUACAGUCAGCAGCUGGAAUGGAAGUGAAGAAGGCCCAGCAGAGCAUCAGACCUGAGUGCAAACUAUGGUGGUGUUGGUGGAAUAGAGGGAAGGGAGAGAUUUGAGAGACAUUGGGAAGAAAGGUUUUGGUUUUUGAGACAGAGUCUUGCCCUGUCAUCCAGGCUGGAGUGCAGUGGCAUAAUCUUGGCUUACAGCAAACUCCACCUCCCGGGUUCAAGCAAUUAUCAUGCCUCAGCCCCCUAAGUAGCUGGAAUUACAGGCAAGUGCCACCACAUUCAGCUAAUUUUUGUAUUUUUAGUAGAGACAGGGUUUCACCAUCUUAGCCAGGCUGGUCUCAAACUCCUGACCUCAGGUGAUCCACCUGCCUCGGCCUCCCAAAGUGCCGGGAUUACAGGUGUGAGUCACCAUGCCCAGCCACCAGAAGUUUAAUCAAGGCUCAGAGACUGAUUCCAGUUUGAGUUUUCUAAUAACUGUCUAAUACUUAGCUAAUAGCUUUGGACAGUUGCUCUUUUUAAAAUGAGAUCAUUCAAUCAUUGCAUUCAUCUUUGGGUAUGACUCACUAGUCAACAGAGUCCCCCUUCUGUAGAAACUGCCUCAUUCACAGAGAUGACCUCCACCAGUCAUGCCUAUAUUUGAGACCCUGUCUCUCUUUAUCCCCCAUUGCUGCGUGAUUCAAGGGUGGUCACCUGACCCAGGCAGUGCCAAGUUUAUUCUCUGUCUUGGGAAUUUAGAAUGUUUGUUUGGCUAAGAGACACAGAAACUGGAAGCUGGAGCUGAUGAUGGAGCUGAUCACGCUAAUGAUGGAGCUAUAGAGAUAAGAUGCAUGAACACCACCGAGGUCCCCAAGAUUGCCAUAUUCCUGCAGUGCCUUCUGGCCACAGAUAGUUGGUCCAGAAGCAGGUUCCUGACUCAACCUGGGCCAAUUAGAGCCUUUCACGGAGAUUUUGAAAUCAAAGUUGAGAUCUCUCUUUCUCUCUAUGCCCUUUGGUGUAUGUGUACUUGAGCUACAAGUUACCCAACUUUGGAAGCUGUAGACAGAGGCAAUUUUCCACUAAAUGAAGUGAGAAACAGAAAGUCCAUCAUUAGUGAGAGAGGAGCAAGGCAGAUGCACACAGAGAAGCAGAUAGAGGGGAAGCGGGCGGGAGUGGGGCGGGAGUUCCUGGAGUCCCCACAGUGCUCUAGUUUCUGAUUCUCUUCCUAAGACCCACAGGAUUCCUGCCUUUGGGUUUCUUAAGUUCCUGAAUAGCUCCUGAUUGCCUUUGUCUUUUUUACGAAAGUCCUUUGAGCAUGGUUUCAGGUGAGCAGACAGUCCUAACCUAAAGAGCUGUAACAAAUACACGUGGGCUGUGUGUGAGAUUCGGGGAGAGGCACCAGGGAUCCAGUGUGGGUCAGGCGUGGUGCCGCCCUCAAGGAACUUAGUGGGGAGAAAAUGAAGUCUGUACUUCAAUAACUACAGUGCAGGCUAGGAAGAGAACACCCUUAGAGAUGUGCAAAUCAAGCUCUUUGGGAGUUUAGAGGAGGCCUAGGACUGCUAAGGAAAGGCUGGGACUAGGAAGAGGUAAGCAAGUCACUGAGGAGGCAAAAUUUAAGAAGCCACCCACUCUCAGGGUGUGUGAAUGCAGCGUUGGCACUUGCAUGACCCUGAGAAUGAGCAACCCCUUAAAUGUAUCUUAGGCACCUUGCCAGACUCACUUUUAGCUUGCUGGACUAAUUGUGGGGAUCAGUAGGCCUUCAGAGGAAAGUUAGUGUCUGAGCUGAACUGAAGGAUGGGGUGGUUUUGGACUUGGUGGCAAUGUCAUCUACCUCAAGGUAAAGUAACAAUAUGGAAAACGCUCCCGUGAAAAUUCACAAGGUCUGUUCUAGGAUCAUCAGGCUCUUCGGUGUGACUUAAGAGUUCAGAGCAUGAAGGAGGAGGGGGCAGUAAGAAAAAUGGAGAGAACGUAGCAUCAGAUUCUGCAGGCAAGGAGAAAAUUGCUAAGCUGGGAAAUAACAUAAUCAGAGCGGUACUUAAGAUGAAUCUAACGGAAUAGCAUGAAAUAAAGGAAAGGCUAAGGAGAGGACAAACAGGAGGCUAUUGUGGCAAUCCAGGCGUGAAAGUCUAAACUAAUCAGCACUGGGAAUAGAGAUGCCAUAGGAAAAAUAAUACAUCAUUAAUAUAACUUGGCAAUUGAGUAGAUGUUGGAGACAAGAGAGAAAUCAGAAACACUGCUAAACACUAUGCAGCUAUAACAAAGAAUGAGAGAGCAUUCAGUAAGAUCACAUCCAAGAUAUGUACAUGAAAAACACAAGGGAUAGAACUGUGUAUAUGGCAAGCUAUCACUUGCAUUUUUUAUUUUUUAAAUGGUAUUUAUUUAUUUCUUGUUUUUUCCUUUUUUUAAGACUAAAAAAUCAAUUAUAAAAUCCUCAACCACUUGACUUUUUUUUUAAGUUCCUGGGUACAUGUGCAGGACGUACAGGUUUAUUAUAUAGGUAAACGUGUGCUAUGGUGGUUUGCUGCACCUAUCAACCCAUCACCUAGGUUUAAGCCCCGCAUGCAUUAGCUCUUUUCCCUAGUGCUCUUCCCCCACCAUCCUCCCCUGACAGGCCCCGGUAAGUGUUGUUCCCCUCCCUGUGUUCUCAUUGUUCAGCUCCCACUUAUAAGUGAGAACAUGUAAUGUUUGGUUUUCUAUUCCUGCAUUAGUUUGCUAAGGAUAAUGGCUUCCAGCUCCAUUUAUGUCCCUGUAAAGGACAUGAUCUUGUUUUUUUAUGGCUGCGUAGUAUUCCAUGGUGUAUAUGUACCACAUUUUCUUUAUUCAGUCUAUCAUUGAUGGGCAUUUGGGUUGAUUCCAUGUCUUUGCUAUUGUGAAUAGUGCUGCAAUGAACAUACGUGUACAUGUAUCUUUAUAACAGAGUGAUUUAUAUUCCUUUGGGUAUACACCCUGUAAUGGGAUUGCUGGGUCAAAUGGUAUUUCCAGUUCUAAAUCUUUGAGGAAUCGCCACACUGUCUUCCACAAUGGUUGAACUAAUUUACAUUCCCACGAACAGUGUAAAAGCAUUCCUAUUUCUCUGCAAUCUCACCAGCAUCUGUCAUUUCUUGACUUUUUAAUAAUCGCCAUUCUGACUGGUGUAAGAUGGUAUCUCAUUGUGGUUUUGAUUUGCAUUUCUCUUUUUUUUUUUUUUUUUUUUUGAGACAGUUUCAAAAACUUGUUGCCAAGGCUGGAGUGCAAUGGUGUGAUCUUGGCUCACUACAACCUCUGCCUCCUGGGUUCAAGUGAUUCUUCUGCCUCAGCCUCCCAAGUAGCUAGGAUUACAGGUGUAUGCCACCACGCCCAGCUAAUUUUUGUAUUUUUACUAGAGACGGGGUUUCACUAUGUUGGCCAGGCUGAUCUUGAACUCCUGACCUCAAGAGAUCUGCCCACCUCCGCCUCCCAAAGUGCAGGGAUUACAGGCGUAAGCUUCCACGCCCAGCUGAUGGUAGUUUCUUUUGCUAUGCAUAAGCUCUUUAGUUUAAUUAGAUCCCAUUUGUUGAAUUUUGCUUUUGUUGCGAUUGUUUUUGGCAAUUUUAUCAUAAAAUCUUUGCCCAUUCCUAUGUCCUGAAUGGUAUUGUCUAGAUUUUCUUCUAGGGUUUUUGUAGUUUGGGGUUUUACAUUUAAGGCUUUAAUCCAUCUUGAGUUAAUUUUUGUAUAAAGGUGUAAGGAAAGGAUCGAGUUUCAGUUUUCUGCAUAUGGCUAGCCAGUUCUCCCAUCACCAUUUAUUAAACAGGAAAUCCUUUCCCCAUUGCUUGUUUUGGUUUGUCAAAGAUCAGAUGGUUGUAGAUGUGCGAUUUUAUAUGUGCUGCCAAAGUGAGCACUAUUUAUUUAUUUUUUUAAACAGAGUCUCACUGUGUUGCCCAGGCUGGAGUGCAGUGGCAUGAACAUAGCUCACGUAGCCUUAUUUGCAUUUGUAAAAGGGAAAUAUGUUUUGUUUUGUUUUUUGAGACAGAGACUCACUCAGUCGCCCAGGCUGGAGUGCAGUGGCACCAUCAUGGCUCACCACAGUCUCAACCUCCCCAGGCUCAGGUGAUUCUUCCACCUCAGCCUCUGGAGUAGCUAGGAUUACAGGUGUGCGCCACUACACCCAGAUAAUUUUUUUUUUCUUGAGAUGGUGUCUCGCUCUGUCACCCAGGGCUGGAGUGCAAUGGUGUGAUCUCGGCUCACUGCAACCUCCGCCUCCCAGGUUCAAGUGAUUCUCCUACCUCAGCCUCCCAAGUAACUGGGACUACAGGCACCUGCCACCACACCCAGCUACUUUCUGUAUUUAUAGUAGAGAUGGGGUUUCGCCAUGUUGGCCAGACUGAUCUUGAACUCCUGACCUCAGGUGAUCCACCCGCCUCAGCCCCCCAAAGUGCUGGGGUUACAGGCACAAGCCACCGUGCCUGGCCCUUUUUUUUUUUUUUUUGUAUUUUUUUAGUAGAGACGGUGUUUCACUGUGUUGUCCAUGUUAGUCUUAAACUCUUGGGCUCAAGAGAUCUGCCCAACUUGGCUUCCCAAAGUGCCAUAAAGGCAUGAGCCACUGCACCUGGCCAUAAAAAGGAAAUAUGUAAACAAACAUCUUUGCUUACAUAUGUUUAUAUAUCCCUAGAGAAAUACGUACAAAAUUGAUGACAUUAAGUGGCCUGUUUAAGAGAAGUGGGGUGGCUGGGGGUCAGUAGUGAAAGAGAGUCUUUUUAGUGUUUAUAAUUUGAAUAUUUUAAAUCUUGAACCUUUUGGAUGAAUUAGCUAAUGAAGAAAAUUAGUUUAAAUUGCUUUUAAAAAUAAAUAAGUAUGAGCCGGGUGCGGGGGCUCAUGCCUGUAAUCCCAGCACUUUGGGAGGCUGAGGCGGGCGGAUCAUCUGAGGUCAGGAGUUCGAGACCAGCAUGGCCAACAUGGUGAAACCCCGUCUCUACUAAAAAUACAAAAAUCAGCCAGGUCUGGUGGCAGGCGUCUGUAAUCCCAGCUACUCAGGAGGUUGAGGCAGGAGAAUCGCCUGAACCUGGGAGGUGGAGGUUGCAGUGAACUGAGAUCACGCCAUUGCACUCCAGCCUGGGUGACAAGGGCGAGACUUCAUCUCAAGAAUAAAUAAAUAGGCCAGGCACGGUGGCUUACGCCUGUGAUCCCAGCACUUUGGGAGGCCGAGGCGGGCGGUUCACAAGGUCAGGAGAUCGAGACCAUCCUGGCUAACAUGGUGAAACCCCGUCCUACGAAAAAUAGAAAAAAAUUAGCCAGGUGUGGUGGCGGGCGCCUCCCAGCUACUGGGGAGGCUGAGGCAGGAGAAUGGCGUGAACCCAGGAGGCAGAGCUUGCAGUGAGCCAAGAUCACUCCACUGCACUCCAGCCUGGACGACAGAGCGAGACUCCGUCUCAAACAAACAAUAAAAAUAAAUAAAUAAAUAAAUAAAAUAAUUAAUAAAUAAAUAAAUAAAUAUGUAAUCCCAGCACAUUGGGAGGUCAAGGAGGGUGGAUCAUCUGAGGUCAGGAGUUCGAGACCAGCCUGGCCCAGAUGGUGAAACCCCGUCUGUACUAAAAACAUGAAAUUAGCUGGCUGUGGUGCUGCAUGCCUGUAAUCCCAGCUACCAGGAGGCUGAGGCGGGAGAAUUGCUUGAACCCGGGAGGUGGAGGUUGGAGGUGGAGGUGGCAAUGAGCUGAGAUCACGCCAUUGCACUCCAUCCUGGGUGAUAGAGCCAGACUCCAUCUCGAAAAAAAAAAAAAAAAGACAUAAAUAAAUAAAUAACCCCAAAGCCCAAAUACGAUACUGAAGUAUGGAGCUGAGUGACAGUAGCUCCAUUAACAAAAAUAAAGAACUCAGGAAGGGAAGUGCACUUGAGAAAAAUAAUGAUGUGUUUGGCUUGGGAUAUACAGAGUCUGAGAUGCCAGUUGUACAUACAUAAAAGAGAAGAAGCCCAUAAGCAACGGAGGAGGGCAAGCAAUCCAAUAGGAAGUUUGAAACAGCUUUGUCGGAAUAGUUACUGUGGAGUGGUGCGAGCAAAAGCCAGAAUUCAAGAGGCAGCAGGAUGAAGGGAAAGUGGGAAUGUAUUGGUAACUAGAGUAGUGUCCUUUAAGAGUGGUGGAUGGAAAGGGAGUGAUGGAGAGGUUGUGAUAGCUAGCGAAAGCUUGGGAUCAAGGCAGCAUGUAUGUAUUGGGCAUGAGGGAGAUUGAACCUAGUUAGAGGCUUCUGGAAAGGAAUCAGUAGAAAAAGAGGUUGAAGUGAUGUUUUUUGUUUUGUUUUUUAAAAAAAGAGAAUUAUGAAUGCAGGGGGUUAGAAAACAAAAAACAAGGGGAAGAAAUUGAUGGAGGAAGCGUUCUAAGGUGAGAAAGCACAAAAAUGGCGGGGGACUGAAAGGAUGUGGGGCACCUCCACGUUUGAGAGACUGGAGGGGAAGAAGGAAGGACAGGAGAGGGUGUGGACUUGAGUGUUUGCAGGGGCCCUGGGAGGGAGAGAGAUGUCAGGCUGGUUGGUCCCUGCUUUUCUAUGAGGCAAGAAACAAAGUCAUCUGCUGGAAGGGCCCCCCACCGCCAGUCAACAGGGAGCGGGCAGCAAUGGCGAAGGUGUGGAACAGGCCUUGUGGAGGGAGAAGGUGCCAAACAAGGGCAGGCAAGGGAGCUGACCGCCAGCGUUGAGGACCCAGCUGAAACUAGGACCCACUCAGAUAUGUUGACACCAGUUGACAUGGCUCAUGCUUUCUGGAAACUUCAACAGCAGACCACAGACAUUCAGGUGGCUAACGCAUACUUUUGUUUGCUUGUUUUGAGCUUUCUGUUCUGUUAAGUGUCAACUUAGGGUUUUCUUGCUGGUUGGUUGGUUGGUUGGUUUUUCUAAUUAUGGUAAAAUAUAUUGUAUUAGUUUUCUAGGGCUGCCUUAAAAUCCCACAAACUGGGUGGCUUACACAACAGAAAUGUAUUCUCUCACAGUUCAGGAGGCUGGAAGUCUGACAUCAGGUGUCAACAGGGUUGGUUUCUCCUAAGGCCCCUCUCCUUGGCUUGCAGACACAACCUUCUAACUGUGCACGUGCAUGUCUGGUAUCUCCUUCCCUCUCCCUCUCUCUCCCUUUGUGUCCCAG